rnacentral:lncRNA from 1 species
GGUAGAUGAACCUUGCCAGUUCUCCUGUCCUGGCUGCCCUCUCUUGUUUCAGAUUUUGUGAUGGACUGGAAGACUUAGACCCAGAAUCUGACACCAAAGCCUGAUGAAACAUGAGGCAGUGCCUGGCCACCGAACCUGCCCCCAGAGCAGGUGGCUAAAGGCAGGAAAUAAAGAGGAUGCUGAGCUUUUCAUCACUCCGAAGAUGCUCUUGCCUGUGAUAGGAACGAUGGCUACAUCUGAAGCUGAGCAAAUUUAUCUUUUCUGUUCGUCUGCAUCAGGGUGACCUCUGGAAGGAAAAAAUGGAAGGAACUACAGAUGGAAGAAAGGAAAGAGGAGAAAGAGAAUAAGGUCUCUGUUUAUGGGCACCUCUGUUGGGUGAAGAUUGAGGAGAAACAUCGUGGAUUCUGAUUGUGACUUGACUGAGGUGAAACGCGUUCUUUAUCAG